rnacentral:rRNA from 1 species
AUGGACGCCACCACCGAGGUGCGAUCGACGAUGUCGACAUGCACCGACGACUCGGGCGACGAUGAUGACCACAUCACGGUGAUGGUGGUGGGCGAGGCGGACGAGGAAGGCAUGGCGGACGAGUUCAUGGCGGAGUUUUACGUGAGGUUCGUGGAGCCUGGGCAUGUCUCUUACACGGAGAGGCACGUGAGAAACGGGGUGGGGAUGGUGGAAUCGCUGUGGUCCAUGGUCGGGAUGUACUCGUUGUUCAUGGUGGGCAAGGGUGGCGGUGGCGGCGGCACGGCGGCGGAGAUGACGAAAGGCAUGGGAGGCUUAAACGAGGAAUGCCCGGAGCUGGGGCCUAUCGGCGACUUCCUGUCGUCGGACGACUUGCUCGGCUAUGGCGCCUCCGUGCUAGUGCUCCGGCGCCACAACGUGCGAAAGAAGACGAGAGGAACGACCCAAUGA